CUUGCCCUGGCCAUGUGAGAAGAGCCUUUUGUCUCCGGCCAUGAUUAUGAGACCUCCCCAGCCAUGUGGAACUUUCCCUGCGGAAGAUUAUAUCUGAAUCAUUACAAGAAAGAAGAAAGAUACUUAUACUAUGGAUUGGGGGCAAGUUAGUUCUAGCCAGAAGUAACAGUCAAUGAGACGGCCCUAAGGUUCGGGAUUGCAUCUGGCAGAGUGAAGGAACAGAGGAGAGGCCAUUGUGUGAUUAGAAUUGAGUGAGUAACAGAAAGAAAGGGAGGGAGUCAAUGGGAUAAACUGAAGUGACUCAUCAAGAACAUGUAAUAAAACCCUCAAACACAGAUUACAUUAUGAAUAAAAUUAACUGCUGAAAAAGAACGGAAAGCAACAGAUGAUCAUCAAGAAAAGAUGAAAUUUAAGUAAUCAGGUUUGAUGGGUACUUGUUUCUACUUAAAUGUCUGUAUCAUAUUGCACCUGGCCAAGUUCACUGCUAUAUCUGUCCCGGAAGGGGAAAAAACAGAGUCCUUCACUUCUAGUACAAGGGUAAAUUCUUGAUGGGAAAAUUCAAACAGAAAAAGUGAGCAUUGGUGAGUUAAAAGGAUUUCAAACAAGAGUGAAUAAAACAAAGGUAACUCACACAUUGUUUUUCUUCAGCUAAUAUUUGCUUUUUAAAGAAGCACUAUGUGUUCAUUUGUCAUUGAUGAUUGUUAUAAAUAUCUUGGUGAUAGUAAAAGGGAGUCACAAAAUAAAAUAUUUUAACAAUGUUUAGUAGAUAGAAAUAUGAUUAGAAAAUAGAUCACUGUAUUAUCUUUAAAAUGACCAUGUUUCACCGAGGUUUCAAUGUCCUCACAUUAUUUUAAUGAUCAUAUUAUAUCUUUUUGUCUGACACCCUCAAAGUGGUAUUUCUGAUGCCCAUGGUUCCUUACCCUGGUAUAAGAAACAGGUAUAAGUGUUACCAUAGUUAUUUGGUACUUUGCCUCAUUUAAAGACUCAUACAAAUUACAAGUUCAUGUGGCAUGUUAAACUUCAUAUUUCCCCUUGUACUUAUACCAAGACCUUAGGAAACCUAUGAAUAGCCCUCCUCUUGAGUCCUCAAACAAGAGAGAUAGACACAGAAAAAGGCAGACAGACAUAAAAAAUAUCAAUUGUAUUUCUGAUAAUCACUUAUCAGUAGGAUAUGGCUUAAACCUGUGUCCACAACAGGCUUCCUGUUAACAAACUAAAAGAAUUAUAGAGGUUUACUUCCUCCGCUUCUAUAUUCCUCACCUCUUCAUCCCCAUCACUUGCACAACUGAACCACUAUAGGCCUUUGCCAACAGGAACAAGCUCCUGUUACCACACAGAAAAAAACAAACAGAAUGAUUCAUUCCUGCAACCAGGCUGGCUCCCCAAAGAACUCAUUUAAGAAAUGACUGAGCCACAAGGAGUGUGUAUAUUUCCCCUCACAUUUGAUAUAAAUCUUAAUAUUUUCAUAUGAAGUUCCCACUCAUCUCUUAACUAAAAAAACUCCCUUAUGUAAGUUGAUAGCUUUAUAUAUGCUUUCUCAGACUCUUUUUGCCUACAAAAACAUUAAUACAAAAAUAAGGCUUUCCAAUUUCAGUUGUGUGACUGAAUAAGGGCAAGCACCAUAACAGUCUCAGCUACCAUAAAUCACACACAUGAAAACCUUUGUUCAUGGCACUUUCAUCACAGAUGUCAGCAUUCUCCUUGUUAUCUUGCCCAAAGUAGGAUGAGCUCUGCAGAAGCAGGCCAUUUGAUUCCUAUUACUUUUGUGAGUCUUUCCUUCCACUGACAGAACAAGAGCUGUAUUCUGGUUUAGACCUCUUGAAAUUGAUACUACUGGGAUAGGUGUUUCUCUAACAGAAGUGAGGUACAAAGUCAUUGUGAAUUCUUUGUAUUGGGAUUAGAAAAGAAGUGUUUUUUAUCGAUAUUAACUUUGCUAUUCCUAUCAUGUUUUGGAUAUAACUUUCUCCUCUUCUGCAGUUCACACCUCUCCAGCUGAAGACAAGGACAAACUAAAGCCUUCCCUUGGCACCUGAAGCAUUCAACCGGACUAAGACGGCCCCUCUCUAGAAUUGUGAACACUUGUUUCUAAAAUAAUACCUACAUGCCAUUCUAGUCCCUUCUAUAGUGUGUAUUUUGCUUUUUCAGUCCAAAACAUGUCAAUGUAUAUGUAUUUUAAAUUACACUGAAUGUAAAAAAAGCAUAGUACUUACGUAGCAGAAUAAAUUAAUUUUGUUCUACGUGUUCUGUAUUUAAGGGACACAUGCCUCAUGUACUUUCAUGGGAAAUGAAAAUUUCAAUGGUGGAUCGUCCUCUAACUCUAUUCUCCAGGAUGGAAAUGUCACUAGUAAUCAACAAUAGGCAGGUGAGACGAAUUUUGGUGGAGAAGUAGAGAAGGCUUGUCCAUUUGCUUGUGUCAAUGACACUACCCUGUAAAAUUUGUGUAAUCCAGAAACCACACUUUUUGUGUGAUUUACAAAAACUGGAUUACAAAAAGCUACAGCAUGAAGAUACUUUGAUUUAUCUUUCUGAAAAACUUACUGUAAGUCCAUUUUUUAAAUUUUACUUCAAAUCACCUACAAAUGACAUUUUUAUUUGUUUACAUCCAGUGGCAGUUAGUCUAUCAUAGUAGUAUUGAGAGGUGACAACGUGCUAGCAGCCCUUG
rnacentral:lncRNA from 1 species